rnacentral:sRNA from 2 species
CCCUCAGUCAUUGGGGAGUAGCUGACCUGCGCAACGCAGGAGCCCGCGUCAACACACUUGGCCUUUCGGCCAUGGCGCGAGCAGCUUCAGAGCCUGGCAAGACCUUUGACCACGUCACCUCGGUAUGGGCCGGGAAGUGGCGUGGUCUUCGCGUCGCUGGCCCAGGAGUU